UACAGAGGGUGCGAGCGUUGUUCGGAAUUACUGGGCGUAAAGCGCGCGCAGGCGGCUAUCCAAGUCAGUGGUGAAAGCCCGGAGCUCAACUCCGGAACUGCCAUUGAAACUGUUUAGCUUGAGGAUGAGAGAGGUGAGUGGAAUUCCCAGUGUAGAGGUGAAAUUCGUAGAUAUUGGGAAGAACACCGGUGGCGAAGGCGGCUCACUGGCUCAUUACUGACGCUCAGGCGCGAUAGCGUGGGGAUCAAGCAGG
rnacentral:rRNA from 1 species